rnacentral:miRNA from 1 species
AAGGACAUUUUUUGUGGCCUG